GCGCUACAUUUUCCCCCCACAUUAUUGUUCAAUAUUUGUCAUAUUGUAGUGUAGCUGCUUCAUUUUAUUUCCACUUGCAUUUAGAUUAGCGCAAUAUUUUCCCCAUUUUCCUAGGAAAAUUAGUAGGUUGAGUAUUUUGCUUCUAGCACUAUCAAAGUUCAUGUUUCUGCCCUUUUCAUCUUGUUUUAGAGAUUGCACGCCCCUCAAUUGUUGAAUAAAAAUCCCUAAUCUGGUUCUAUCUGUACCUCAGAAACACUAGAGAAAUUCCUCUCUCUAAGCUCACCUACAAGAUUGGAUACCUUGAAGCCAUCACCUUUGCAAGAAUCUUGAUGGAGCGAGUUUCGAGAGGAUUCUGGAACAGAGAUGAAAGAUGUUCAUCUGGUUGGCCGUUCAUCUGUGCCAUACCACACCGAAAAUGUAUUCUGAUAAACGUUCAGGAGAGAAAAGAUUCAGAUUAAUACUUGAAAUAUAAGGUUUCUUUUUCUUAUGGACAAUAUAGCUCUGAUACUGAAUCUGAAACACUUUGCCCAACAACGAGACUUGUGAAACAUUUUGCCAAAGUCUCUCCUGUCAUUUAUGAACGCAAACAGACUAUGAAUAAAAAUGCAAUGAGUUGGAGGUUGGGGAAGGAAUAUAACCUAUCCAAUCCUUCAGAACAGGAUCAAUACUAUGGGAUAUUCAAGUACUAUUCUACAGUUACUAUUCAGUACCAUUACUGUUUUAGGCUACGGUGAUGUGGCUAUAUCACGUUACAAGCUAUGUUGAAGCACUCCUCAGGGAUAUCUACUUCCCACUGUCGUUCCAUCCUGCUGCCCUUGAGGUCACCGCCUCAGCUCCUGGGAUUUAAGAUAUGUUUCUACCCCUCCCGGUUUUGGCCCUUGCUGUCCUUUACCUGCACACACAGGCCCUCUGUAAGUAAUAAUGGACGUUUUAAGGCUACCAUCCUUAGUCCAAGAUUUUUUUCUACUUUCCCUUGCCUGUCAUCUGGCUAGUCCCUUAAUAUAUUCUACAUGUCUUUUAUAGAUAGCGUUAGUGCAUCUGCUCCUGAAGAUUGGAAGUAUCCAUGAAACACGUCAAGCUAUAUAGAUGCGUGUAUGAUCUACAAAUCAAGAGUGUUACUAACUUUUUUUUACAUUAUGCUGUUCUGGCUUAGACCAAUAUGCUAUGGCUUUGCUAUAUAUAUAUGUGUACAUGGAUUCUUGAGUCUGGUGGCUCUAAUAUCAUCAUUGUGUCAUUUUUAUACACUUACAUGCUUAUUAUGCUAUUAUGCUACUAUGUGGUGUUUAGUUAAUAAACCCAAUUACAAUUUUA